rnacentral:rRNA from 1 species
AGCCUUUGGUUGCUUCGAAAUGUGGCGUAUAGGUGUAGCUUUCCAGCAGUGUCGUAUGUCCGAAGUCCUUACGAUUGAGGCCAUAAACCAGAGAGGGUGCGAGCCCCGUUCUGGAUAGCGAUGCUGUUGGUUUGGUUGCUCCUUGGAGUCGGGUUGCUUGAAAGUGCAGCCUAAAGUGGGUGAUAAACUUCAUCUAAGGCUAAAUAUCGACUCGAUUGCGAUAGCGAACAAGUACCGUGAGGGAAAGUUGCAAAGGACUUUGAAGAGAGAGUUCAAGAGAACGUGAAAUCGCUGGAGUGGAACCGGAGACAGUUGAUGUUGCUUGGAGACAAGCUUGGUGGCUGGUCGCUUAACUGUGAUCGUCGCCGGGUGUCGUUUCCUAUGCUACGCCGACGGCGUUGAUUGCUCGUUCUAGCCCGACAGUGUUGCCCAUCUCGCAAGAGACGGUGUCUUGUUGUCGGUAGUGAGUUCGUGGUGAUUAGCGUUUAGUUACGCAAGUGUGUGUGACGUCGGUGUGAAAGUCAACGACGUUUCCGACCCGUCUUGAAACACGGAUUGCGGAGUGCUUGUCUACUGCGAGUCAAAGGGUGUUAAAACCUUGCGGCGUAAUGAAAGUGAAGGCUUGUCUCGAAUGAGCCGACGUGGGAUCCGUGCUUUUCGGAGUGCGGCGCACCACGGCCCUAUGCGUGUCACUUGUGACUGUGUAGAGGUUGAGCAGUUGGCAAACGACCCGAAAGAUGGUGAACUAUGCUUGAGCAGGAUGAAGCCAGAGGAAACUCUGGUGGAAGUCCGUAUCGGUUCUGACGUGCAAAUCGAUCGAUAGACUUGAGUAUAGGGGCGAAAGACUAAUCGAACCAUCUAGUAGCUGGUUCCUUCCGAAGUUUCCCUCAGGAUAGCUGGAUCUCCAGCAGUUAUAUUCGGUAAAGCUAAUGAUUAGAGGCCUUGGGGGCGUAAUGCCCUCAACCUAUUCUCAAACUUUCAAUGGAUAUGAAGUUGCAGUUUCUUUAGUGAACUGUCAACGUGAAUGCGAGGUCCAAGUGGGCCAUUUUUGGUAAGCAGAACUGGCGCUGUGGGAUGAACCAAACGUGGAGUUAAGGUGCCUAACUUCUCGCUCAUGAGACCCCAUAAAAGGUGUUGGUUGAUAUUGACAGCAGGACGGUGGCCAUGGAAGUCGGUACCCGCUAAGGAGUGUGUAACAACUCACCUGCCGAAUCAACUAGCCCUGAAAAUGGAUGGCGCUUAAGCGAGAGACCUAUACUCCGCCGUUGCGGCAUGUGCGUUGUCUAGCGCCAGGUCGUAACGAGUAGGAAGGUCGUGGCGGUUGCGUUGAAGGCUAUGAGCGUAGGCUCGGCUGGAGCUUCCGUCAGUGCAGAUCGUAAUGGUAGUAGCAAAUAUUCAAGUUCGAUCCUUGAAGACUGAAGUGGAGAAGGGUUCCACGUGAACAGUAGUUGGAUGUGGGUCAGUCGAUCCUAAGGUACUGGCGAACGCCUUGUAUCAUCGGUGGCGAAAAGCUUGCUUUUAGUCCCCGUUUGUCGAAAGGGAAUAGGGUUAAUAUUCCCUAACUGAGAUGCAAAGAUUGUGUUCUUCGGAGCACAAGCGCGGUAACGCAUUCGAACUUGGUUAGUCGCUCAAAGACCGAGCUAGAGUUUUCUUCUCUAGUUAAGGAACGGACUCCCUGGAAUUGGUUCAGCCAGAGAUGGGGACGUUGUUUCCGAAAAGCACCGCGGUUUCUGUGGUGUCUCGUGCUCUUUGAACGGCCCUUUAAACACCAAGGGAGGCUAUUAAUUUGCACUCAAUCGUACCGAUAUCCGCAUUAGGUCUCCAAGGUGAACAGCCUCUAGUCGAUAGAAUAAUGUAGGUAAGGGAAGUCGGCAAACUAGAUCCGUAACUUCGGGAAAAGGAUUGGCUCCAGUGGUUGGAACGAUUGGCCAGUUGGUUGAUGCUUGUCCGGCGCUAUUCUGUCUGUUUGAUGCUUUCGGGCUGAUGGCGGACUAGUGAUAGUGCUUGCUUGUGGACGCUUUCUGGUGUGUGCUUUGACUUCGGUCUUAGUAUCCUGAUCGCUCAUCUAAACAACCAUACUGGAACCGGUACGGACUCAGGGAAUCCGACUGUCUAAUUAAAACAGAGGUGACAGAUGGUCCUUGCGGACGCUGACUGUCACUGAUUUCUGCCCAGUGCUCUGAAUGUUAAAUCGUAGUAAUUCGAGUAAGCGCGGGUAAACGGCGGGAGUAACUAUGACUCUCUUAAGGUAGCCAAAUGCCUCGUCAUUUAAUUGUUGACGCGCAUGAGGGGGAGCGAGGGGGGAUUCGUCUCCUAUCUAGCGCCUUCACGUGGUCUCCUCUGUUAAAAGGUUUCGUGCCUUAACUAAAGCUAGAUAAGGGAGCGCCAGAAGAUGGUGCCUUGCUCAUACCGAUUCUGAGCAUGCUUGUAGCUCCCUCCUUAUCGAGGUCUGUUGGCAAAUGGACUUGCAUCAUAGAAGUAAGGACUAUUGAUGUAAAAGUCCAUCCUGUUGACACCUCAAGGUCGCUUUUGGCUUGCUGAAUGUCGACAGAUCGCGUAUGUGAUCAAGAUCGGAAACUGACGUGCAACCCUCUCAAAAGAGAGAAAAUAGAGGGGUGGUCUCGUUAUAACUGUGACUGGCUUUGCCUACUCACGAUCUGAUGAGACUAUCCCUGGAGUGGCUUUUUUUUUUGUGUAGGGGGGGUCCCGGGACCCCUCAAACACGGCGGCUCACCGUGUUUUGACUUUUUGAAACGGAGACUGACGUACUACCGUAUCUCAUAAACAGAAAGGACUCCCGGAACCUCUCUGUCGAGAUUUUGAAUUUAGGAUUUCCUUUUCUUUCCUUUGGUUUUACUAACACGGAUUUACCGCUUGCUUGUAUGCGUUUGAUUAUCGUCUGCACUUGCACUUGCACCAUUAAUAGCAUGUUUCUUACAGAGCGCAUACCAAGCAAGCAUAAUGGGAAAGCAUCGGAAAAGGACUUCGAAGACUGGAACACCUAAGGUCAAGGCA